UGUGCUCUUUCGAUCAACCGAAGUUUGGAGGUAGACGAGCAGGCGAGCGGUUUGCCCGGGCGCAGAGCAUGAAGGCCGGGCGGGCGCGGGGAGCGGGCGCCCGCCGCCCGGCGCGGGGGUGAGCGAGAGAGAGAGCGGAGCGCGUGUGGCCGGCG